CAUUUGAGCAACGCAUUUGAGCAACGCAAGGCGUUACCGAUGGCAAAGUGUCGAUGACUAAAGUGCAUGGACGCUUGUACAGAUGUUCAGUCAGAGGUGCAAUUCUGAAGGACACUCUCCACUAACAUGCAUGGACUUGAGCGACGUUCAAGAAAAUUCUGUCACGCCAACUUCUGCAGCAUGACUGUUCUCCCGCACUGAAAGACCUCCCUUGUAUGUCAACGUCAAAAAUCGCAGACCAAUCCAAG